rnacentral:rRNA from 1 species
CCUACGGGUGGCAGCAGUGAGGAAUAUUGGUCAAUGGACGAGAGUCUGAACCAGCCAAGUAGCGUGAAGGAUGACUGCCCUAUGGGUUGUAAACUUCUUUUAUAUGGGAAUAAACUGUUCCACGUGUGGGAUUUUGUAUGUACCAUAUGCAUAAGGAUCGGCUAACUCCGUGCCAGCAGCCGCGGUAAUACGGAGGAUCCGAGCGUUAUCCGGAUUUAUUGGGUUUAAAGGGAGCGUAGGUGGCUGGUUAAGUCAGUUGUGAAAGUUUGCGGCUCAACCGUAAAAUUGCAGUUGAAACUGGCAGUCUUGAGUACAGUAGAGGUGGGCGGAAUGCGUGGUGUAGCGGUGAAAUGCUUAGAUAUCACGAAGAACUCCGAUUGCGAAGGCAGUUCACUGGACUGCAACUGACACUGAGGCUCGAAAGUGUGGGUAUCAAACAGGAUUAGAUACCCUGGUAGUC